CGUUUUUCUAAAGGCAGGUUAAGACCCCGGCCCCUUGCACCGGAGCGCAAGAAAGACCCGAACUCUGAUAUCUGUGUUUUAAGUUGGUGGCAGCGCACGGAAAGAUGAACGAACGAUUGCGCUUCUGCAUGCAAAGGUCACCGCGGCCGGCAGACCCGGGAUCGGCUCCCCCGGGAGGGCGAGGGCAGGCGGCGGUGAGCAGCGACACUGCCAGGCUGGUACGAGCGCACACGAAGGCGAAGAUGGUUUUGGUACACGUCCAAGUUCGAAAAUGUGAAGUCCUGUGUUUCCUCAACGGGAAAUGCAUCUGAGCAUGUAGUUUGUUGAAAUGUAUGGAAGGAGCCACCACUUACCAACUGAUUAAAGAUGGGGUCACGAGUCGCUGGUCUUCAAAGCAGAAGCUGCUCCCGCCUACCUGCUUUGUGAUGUUCUCUAGAAACAAUAAAAUGACUUUUUGGGGAGGGGAAAAAAAUAAAAAAGCAAGCAAGAGUAUUUAUUUUUUUUGCUCUUACUUUCUUCAUUUUGUAAAGUUACGGACAUGGAUCUCCAGUUGUAAAAAGCCCAUGGCAUGGGACGCUAACAUCACUACGGGUGCCGUCACUGCGAACACCCGUCUCGAAAUUUACCGCUCGUUUCACAGAAAUGCAUUCAUCAAAAACAUGUUAGUGGAGCACUUGACGUGCUAUAGACACUAUUUGUAGAAUCGAGUUUAUUUAGCACAGGGCUGUCUUCCCGCUGAGAGAAAAGCGAAAGGAAAAUGUCCUACUGCUGUGCGAGACAUACAGAUACCCAGUUUCGCUUCCUAAAGUGCGCGAGCUUGGAAGUUGCGGACCCGAGCCUCGGUGGCGGUUGCGGGUGCCUGCUGUCAGCCCUCGGAGCAGCCAAGCAGUCGCGGAGCAUUCAGCACCGUUACCGGCAGCGUGGGAAGCACCGAUACAGCGAGCAUCGACACUCGGUAUUGGAGCAUUUCACUUGAAAAUAAACAAAUCAGUGGCUGUGAGCCUCUGCCGACUC